CGGACAGCCCAGAGGGCGGGGCUCGCCCACGUCCGGUGUUGACUUGGGUGAUAGUCUGCUCAUCAAAAAUUUGCGGAAGAGGCUGAAAUAAAUCCUAAAGAAAAAAGUUCUGAGAUCUCAUCUGGUUGAGAAUCUUGGUGCCUUAAUCUGUGGGAUAUCUGAAGCUCAUAAACGAAGAUAUGGCAGCGGCUCAAGAUCCUUGCGAACAUCGAACGGGAUUAUGUAUGCGAGACUAUUCUUAAGGACCAUACAAGUUUUCUUUAUCAUCAGCUGCACUACUAGCCCCCUAUGGAAAAGCUCAGGGUCCUUGAAAAUGAAAACGACGUCGAGUAUGGUGUGGUCGAAGUGUCAGUAGUAAACUGGGAAGCAAAUGGGAGAUCUGGGAGUGGUCUGUUAUGUCAAUGUAAUGGGCACCAACUUCCCUUUGUACCUGCUGAGUAGCCUUUAAAAAUAUCAUUCUGUAAUGAAAACCAUAGGUAAUAUAACCCAUCUACACAAUUAAAAAAACAACAACAACAUCCCAGUUGUAAAAGAAGAAUUGCAAAAUAGCAAAAUAAUAUAUAUACACACACCGUAUUUUUCAGACUAUAAGAUGCACUCUCCCAAAUUUGGGAGAAAAGCGGGGUGCGUCUUAUAGUCUGAAUGUAGCUUUACAUUUACAUUGGUGGAAUAUUUAUAUUAUUAAGUAUUUUACUACAUUUUUUGCUUCAAAAAUUUUUUCCUAUUUUCCUCUAAAACCUUAUGGUCUUAAAUGGUCCUUACAGUCCUAGGUGCAUCUUACAGUCCAAAAAAUAGUAAUUCAAAAUGUAAAAGUUGAAACAUGUCUACAGUAGAAAAUACAAAGUGUCAUUUGCUUGUGUGCAUAAACAAUGACUAUAAAUAUAAAAGCUACAAUUACAA